GACGAACGCUGGCGGCGUGCUUAACACAUGCAAGUCGAACGGAAAGGCCCUGCUUUUGUGGGGUGCUCGAGUGGCGAACGGGUGAGUAACACGUGAGUAACCUGCCCUUGACUUUGGGAUAACUUCAGGAAACUGGGGCUAAUACCGGAUAGGAGCUCCUGCUGCAUGGUGGGGGUUGGAAAGUUUCGGCGGUUGGGGAUGGACUCGCGGCUUAUCAGCUUGUUGGUGGGGUAGUGGCUUACCAAGGCUUUGACGGGUAGCCGGCCUGAGAGGGUGACCGGCCACAUUGGGCCUGAGAUAGGGCGCAGACUGCUACGGGAGGCAGCAGUGGGGAAUAUUGCACAAUGGGCGGAAGCCUGAUGCAGCAACGCCGCGUGCGGGAUGACGGCCUUCGGGUUGUAAACCGCUUUCGCCUGUGACGAAGCGUGAGUGACGGUAAUGGGUAAAGAAGCACCGGCUAACUACGUG
rnacentral:rRNA from 1 species